CUUGCCUUGAACUUUCUUCUACAGUUUUUGGAUUAUUCUUCUUCUGUUAUUUUCCCCGGACUGUGAUAACUUUCUGCGUGUUUGAGUUUGUCCCUACCUGUCUUUAUGCUUGAAGUAGAUCUUUGAAUAUCAUGUAUUCAGUUUUGAAGUGCAGAGAAAAUGUUUAAAGAACAGAGUUCAUGGAAUUUGAUAUUUAAUAAAUGAUGUCAAAGAGAGCGCAAUUUCACAGAAGUGGUUUCAGCCAGGUGGUUGCUAGGAGCUGAUGUUAAUCCUUUAUGUGCUGCUAAAAGAACAUAACCUCUGAGGACAACAGUUUGUGUGCUUUCUUAUGCAGAAGAACAUUGGGGUCCAAAGCCCCAAUCUAUUAACUAUGGCAUCCAUGAAGUGUGUGGAAGCAACGAAGCCAAAGAGAAAGGUUGUAGUAUUGACGAUUGAGGUGAAAAAGGAGUUUACAGUGAAGUACAGUUAUUUGGUGUGUUUAUGGAAGGUGACUCCCCUUCCAAACAGUAACCUUUCUCUUCCUCUCCACCAGCCACA